UCAGGCCUAACACAUGCAAGUCGAACGGUAGAGGGGCAACCCUUGAGAGUGGCGAACGGGUGAGUAAUGCAUCGGAACGUGCCCAGUAGUGGGGGAUAGCCCGGCGAAAGCCGGAUUAAUACCGCAUGAGACCUGAGGGUGAAAGCGGGGGAUCGCAAGACCUCGCGCUAUUGGAGCGGCCGAUGUCAGAUUAGCUAGUUGGUGGGGUAAAGGCCUACCAAGGCGACGAUCUGUAGCUGGUCUGAGAGGACGACCAGCCACACUGGGACUGAGACACGGCCCAGACUCCUACGGGAGGCAGCAGUGGGGAAUUUUGGACAAUGGGCGCAAGCCUGAUCCAGCCAUGCCGCGUGCGGGAAGAAGGCCUUCGGGUUGUAAACCGCAUGGUCAGGGAAGAAAUCUUCUGGGCUAAUACCCCGGGAGG
rnacentral:rRNA from 1 species